rnacentral:rRNA from 1 species
CCCCCCGUAAUUGGAAUGAGUACACUUUAAAUCCUUUAACGAGGAUCAAUUGGAGGGCAAGUCUGGUGCCAGCAGCCGCGGUAAUUCCAGCUCCAAUAGCGUAUAUUAAAGUUGUUGCAGUUAAAAAGCUCGUAGUUGGAUCUCAGGAUUUGGAUGGAUGGUUCGCUUUCGGGCGCUACUAUCUGUCUGACCUACUCUAGUCGUGGAUGCCUUGGGUGCUCUUAAUUGAGUGCUUUUGGUGCCCGACGCAAUUACUUUGAAAAAAUUAGAGUGCUCAAAGCAGGCGUAUUGCCUGAAUAGUGUUGCAUGGAAUAAUGAAAUAGGAGUUUACUUCUAUUUUGUUGGUUUUCGGAGGUGAACUAAUGAUUAACAGGGACAGACGGGGGCAUUUGUAUGGAGGGGUUAGAGGUGAAAUUCUUGGAUCCUCUCCAGACAAACUACUGCGAAAGCAUUUGCCAGGAAUGUUUUCACUAAUCAAGAACGAAAGUCAGAGGUUCGAAGACGAUCAGAUACCGUCCUAGUUCUGACCAUAAAUGAUGCCAUCUAACAAUCCACGAAGUUUGCUUGUACGAACUCGUGGGCGGUCCCCGGGAAACCAAAGAUUUUGGGUUCCGGGGGAAGUAUGGUUGCAAAGCUGAAACUUAAAGGAAUUGACGGAAGGGCACCACCAGGAGUGGAGCCUGCGGCUUAAUUUGACCCAACACGGGAAACCUCACCCGGCCCGGACACUUUUAGGAUUGACAGAUUGAAGGCUCUUUCUUGAUCAAGUGGUUGGUGGUGCAUGGCCGUUCUUAGUUGGUGGAGCGAUUUGUCUGGUUAAUUCCGAUAACGAACGAGACUCUACUCUGCUAAAUAGAACGUUGAUAUAUAAAAGUCAGUGCUGACUUCUUAGAGAGACUAACGGCGUUUAGCCGUGUGAGAAAGAGCAAUAACAGGUCUGUGAUGCCCUUAGAUGUCCGGGGCCGCACGCGCGCUACACUGACUGCAGCAACUAGUAUGCUCCUGGUUUGAAAAAACUGGGUAACCUGGUUGAAUUGCAGGCGUGACAGGGAUCAGAGUUUGCAAUUAUCCUCUGUGAACGAGGAAUUCCCAGUAAGCGCAAGUCAUUAGCUUGUGCUGAUUACGUCCCUGCCCUUUGUACACACCGCCCGUCGCUACUACCGAUUGAAUGGUUUAGUGAGGUCUUCGGAUUGGUGCUGAUGGAGUGGUUCUCUGCUCUGUUAGUGCCGAGAAGAUGAUCAAACUUGAUCAUUUAGAGGAAGUAAAAGUCGUAACAAGGU